AGGGAAAACUCGUAGUUAUUCGCAUGGACUAGCAGAGCCGCAGUCAGCUGAGCAGCUUUGAAGUGUUAUUUUCCCUGUGUAUUUCUGUCAGUGCUGCUGCUGUUGGCAUAGCUUCAGCAUCCUGUUUUUUUUUAUUUUUCAUUGGGCCAAAUGAUUUUUCUUGUUCAGCACAGAAUAAAUCUGAAGUAAUAGUGUUUAUUUCUAUGUGUGUGAAGGCGCUUUUCUGGAGCACUGGGUGGAUUUGCACCUCUCGAAGUCAGUAAUUUGCUCUGGAUUGUAAACAGCUCUGACAACAUAAUUCUGAAAAUAGAGUGAUGUUGCCAAGCAAGCAGAGCUCUUGAGCUUUCAGCAGUGACAGUUCUCAUUUGAAACCCAAAGCAGUGCUCAGACAGCCUGAAGUAACUCAGCAUUUAUAAUCUUGGAGUUGAAAGAAUAAAGUCUGAUGAUGAUAGAUAGAAAAGGGCCAAGAAUUAAUUGUUCUGUGAUUUCUGGAAGUGUCUGGUUCCAGUUUUCCAGCGUGGCAGCUGUUUUAGAGAAUAAUAGGGCAGAUAACUUCCAUAGAUUUAUCUCCAUAAUGUUUCCUAACUCUAGUAAAUAAUAAAAAACCGGCAUUUUUCCCACUCAAUUGAAAUAUCUUGAGAAUAUGGCUCAAAAUACAAAAUUUCACUAUGGGAAAACAACAGAAGAAAAUGCAUUUUCACCUAAACCAGGCAGUACCAGAGUGCUGUCCUACACUCCUGGACUGUGUUUGUAGAAGUGCAAGGUGAUGGAAUCACGGAUAAGCUCAACACCAUUUUCAGUUGCUGUACUAGGGGUUGGUCACCUCCAAAAAGAGGUUCCAGUCCUCCUGUUCUACUGCCUUGCAUGGGAAUUGGUUGCUGUUUCAAUCAAUUUAGCCUGAAGUAACAAAAGUAGCCAGGAUGCUGAAUUACACAUUAUUGUGUGCCAGUUUACACCUGGGCUGCUCUGUCCAGCCUUUUCUCCUGCAGACAAUCUCUGCCUUCCCAAAGCUCAGGGAUGCUUUUGGUCAGCACAGACUGAGCAUUAGAUUACAAAGAUUUUUUUAAACUUAUAAUUCCAAAUUGGGACACUGACAUUCCUUUUCACACAGCACUGAAAAUAAAUGGAUUCUUUUCCCACAGAUGGCACUUCUGAAGGCAGAUGUAUCUUCCUGCAAAGGUGACCAAUGGAUUUGCCUUGUUAAAUUUUAACUCUGUGGAUUUGUUUGCUGCUAUUAUGGUCUCCUGGGGACCACCUGUACCUCAGAAAAAAUCAUCAUUACACUUCAGUGAUGAGGCUCCUGUAAUUAAUUACUCCUAUGAGAGGUUAGUCAACUCUCAAAUAUAUGUAUCAAAAAAACCUUUUAUGUUUAGGGGGCAACAAAGCAGUUCAAUCCCACUGAAAUAAUUUCUUGGUGUAAUAGUUACCAAGCCUUUAUUCUCAGCCUGUGUUUUGUGGAAAGCAGUCAGUGCCUGAGCAGGAUACUAACAGCUGGAAUAAACUGUUUUCAUCCCUUAGGACUGGCUGGUGAGGUUAGAGAGGAUGUGACAUUUUUAGUAAGAGACUAUAUUUAUCUUAAAUGUCUAUGCAUUGUUCUUGUUUCACUGGGUUCUAAGAAACUGAGCAGGGAUAGUUUAUAGAGCUCACUUCUGCCUGGGCCUGCUAGCUCAUAACAUCUGCCUCAUUUGUUGGUGUUUACCCCAUUCUGAUUUGUUUAUUGCUCACAGAGCCUCUCUGCAGGUUUUUCUCAUUUUCAUAAAGUGGAGGGAGUUCACUCCCUGUAUCUCAUCCUUAGCGGGGUAUUUUAUGAGCUAAAAGUGAUAAGAAUUUUCUGAAGGGAAGUGGAUUUAUCAGAGCUUGACAACUCCUAACUCCUAAGAGGAGAGAGGGCUUCCUUCUCCCUGUCAUAGCACCUAUUCCCUUCCCACCUCAAAGAACAAAGCCUGCACUUGCUUUCUGAAUCCGCUUCACUUGCAUUUCUGGAACAUAAUUUAGAGACAGUUCUAUGUUUUCUUGGAUUAAAAAGAAAUCACCAUCUAUACAGGACAUUUUCUUUUUGUUAUGGUGUUGAAAAAAUGUCCUUUUUGUGGCUAAAUGUAGGUGUGUGAUGGCUGAGCUGCAGGGGUGACCAGCAGCAGAGAGCUGGGUUGGGGUAGGUCCCACUGACCACAACCUUCCCAUGGCAGAUCCUUAGACUUGAACUAAACCUGGUGAUCUCUUAGGAAAGGCUUAAAUGCAGUAUUAAUACAUCCUACUGGAGCAGCAAGGGGAGGUAGGCAAAUUUCAGAUAUGUAAGGUGAUGCUGCACAGCAGAGAUCCCUUUGAUCUCAAUUCUGUUUGAGUCAGUAACUCCCAUGCUCCGACUGCCUUUGCACUGAGAAAAAAGCUUUCCUGUUGAAGUGUAAAAUGAAAGGAAGAGCCUUUGUGGUCUGUUCUUAUCAGCUUUAUGGCAAUUAGUGCCAGGGAAGGCUCCUGCUGUCUCCUCUCAGCCCUGGGCAGGUGUGAGGCUCAGACACAAGCUGGACUCAGGGUGAAACAGGAGCUGUUCUGGGGAGGAACACACCAAGAAGCCCCCGAUCCCAGGUGCUGGGGUGCCAGGGGAUUCCUGCUUCUGUGCCAGGGAAGCUGCUGCAGAGACACAUCAGUCUCAGCAUUUCAAUUUUCUAACUGGGUCUGACCCAGAGAAGCUGGAGAAAUACUAGUUGUUUAUUUUAAAAUCUGGUUACCAGGCCAGUUACUUGUUCAAACCAAGCCCUGCAUGACUGGUAGAUGACAGCAGUGUGCUGCUGCCUGCUCCUCAGCCCUGAAGGUCAGUACCUGUAUUCCCACCUUCCCGCCCUCAGUGGUGGGAUUGGUCGAGCCUGCCCUGCUCUCCACUUGUGGGCAUCCCCUCGUGAGGAGAGCUGCACCUCUAGGCACACUGAAAAGCUUUUGAUUCACAAGAAGCCACUCAGCUGCAGUAGAUUAUUGAUGGUAUGAGUAAAGGGAAAGACUGAAGUGUGGUAACGGUCUGCAGUUAAACAGCAUUCGUCAUUCUGGAGGCACUCUGAGACUGAAAGGGCCCAAGGAACAUUUUAUGUGAAAUAAACAUCUGUAAAAUAAUGGACCAGUUUUUGAGAAUGAAGAUGUGAAAGACAAUAUUUUUGGAUACCUUAAUCGAGAGAAGGCUGGAAGGCACAGGAAGGGGAGGGAAGCAGACCUUGGAAAGAGCCAGAGGAACAAGAGGAAGGAGGUUCCCGAGGGCUCUGUCAGGUGAUGACCAUGGCACUGCACCUCGGUACUGCACCUCAGUACUGCACCUCAUUCUUUGGUUUUCUUCUUUUCUGUCUCCCAUGACAGCCCUCACAUGGAUUUUAAUGCCAAACUUCCUUCGCAGCUUGGGAACAGCCCCGUGUAAUACAAGAGCCCACAAAUUGUAGGGUUUUGAUGAUAUUUCUCAUUUCUCCUUGUGUAGAAUUCAUUUCGUCUUCUGACAGGUGGAAUGCACAGACUCCUUCAGCAAUAUUGGAUAUUUCCUAUAUCUGUCUUUUCUGAAUUACAGAAGCCAGAAGAUGCCUUUCCUGAUCAUUCAAGUGCAGUGCCACUAACACAAGCAUUUGAUGUUAUCUUAAAAUUUUAAAAAUACACCUCUCCUCCCACAACACAAACACUGCAGUACCAGUCUGUACCCAGAAAUAAUGACACCUACAUACGUGCUUUUCCAGACUUCAAGUCUUUGUGACAAACAUCUUGCAAACUGAAAGGUGCUCUAAAAACUCAAAAGCACCUUUCAGAAUAUACCUUGACCCCUCCAAGGACUCCAAAUGUUCCAUUGCACAUCACACUUGUCCUGCACCUCUUUUCCUGGAGCUGUGUGUUUCAGGGUCACUUCACAGAAAGGUCAAGCAAUGGGACCUUGUUGUUUUUCUAACAGCUCUGCAUCUAUGCUUAAAAAAGAAAAAAAAAAAAAAAGGCAGCUAGAGUGGAAGUUUGUGAGGUUCCAUGGAGUUGCAAGUUCAUUUCCAGCAGUUUCAGAAAGCACUGCAGCUUCUGGGAGAAAAAAAGAAGUAACAGUGUUUUAUCAGUUUUGUCAAUUUGUAUUUACACAAGGUUUUUCUCUUCCCUUCACUUGGGAUUGCACCCUCAGUAUCGAGAGCAGCCAAGUCUGAGCUCUUCCUGAGCUGCUGAUGACAGGUUGGUGUCACUGCUGCCCGCUUCACUGUGAAGGAAUAUCUGCAUGCAGGAAGCUCUAAUACAGCAAAGAGCAGGACAGAGACCUUUCACAGCUUGGCAGUCAUAAAGUUAUAAAAAAAUCCUGGCAAAAAAGCAGCCUGACUAUUCACUGAGCACCUUUUAUGCACACUCCCAUUCACACAAAACCCUUCUUGGGUAUUGUGUUUCAGAAAGCAACUUUCCCAUUUAAACCCAUGCAAUUAUUACUUAAUAUUGUGUUGCUGGGCUUCUUAAAAUGGCCAGGCAUUAGAAAGUUAUACUUUAUUGUACAACUGGCUUGCAGUUCAAGGUCUAAAAAAUAAUCCUGAUAGUGGUUAGAGAGCACAGUGUCCCUGAAGGGAGGGAGGCCUGAGCAGUGCUGAGGUCAUGGCAGCUGCAGAGGUCUUUGUCUCUCCUGAGCAGGGAGAACAGCCCCACUGGAACCCACUGGGAAUUAGGGACAUGCUGGGAAGCCUCUGCCAUCACUGCACCAGCUCCUGCCUCCCUCUCCAGGAAAGAACAGCUCUGCCAAAGGCUGUACCAGUGGGUAGCAGUGUCAUCUUUUGGACAAGAGAGCCUUUUGUUCUUGUAUUCUUGUCAGACAGACAAAGUGCAUCACUCAGGGUCUCUGCUGUUCAGUUACUACUUCUCUGUUGCACUUGUGGAGUGAAAUUCCUGCCUUCUCCAGAACUGGCUGCAGGAGAGGCCUUCUGGCUACAGACCCUGAGAAAGGCACAGGGGCCUCUUCAAAGGAGACUUUACACCGAGCAGCUGGAGUUUCAGUUGCGAAGGUCAGUUCAGAGGAGACUGAAAAGACAGGAGAAAGACAGGAAAAGAGGAGGAAAAGAGGAGAGAAACAGGCACAAUGAAUUCUGCAUCCCUUUAUGUCACCACAAAGGUACAACUUUACCUAUUCAAACUGCAUUUUUAUAAAAACAAAAUAAAACGUAGUGCCACUGCAUGCUGGCUUCAGGAGACAGAGAUGCCAACUAAAGCAGCCACAAAGGCUUGAGUGGAACAGCCAGGUGAGCAGCAAUCCACAGCUGGGGAUCCUGCCUGGACAAGCUCUGGUGGCAGUGUGAGAGUGGCUGUUAAAUGGUUCCAACACAGGACACAGGAAACUGAAAGCUCAUCUCUUGAAGGGUGGAAAAGAGCAAGGAUGAGAUGCUGACCUUCAACACAGCAACUUGAGUGGUUAGGAAAAAUGAGUAGCAUAAGAAGAAUGUUAAAAUGUGUGAAAGAAACCAUGGCAUGGGGGGGAGAAUAGAAAGGAAAAAAGCUUAACCUGUAAGGUUAAAAAAGAUAGUUAGAAAAUGGAGGGAGCAAGGCAGUGAAAAUAAACAGGAUUAGGAGAGAUAGUGAAGUUUAUAAAUGUAUUUGAUGGUACUGCUUCUUUCUGCUUUACAGCUGUCCUAGGUGGAAUAAAAAAUUCAUCAGGCAGGUUAGUGGGGGGGUGGACUGGAUGUUCCCCAGAGGUCUCAUACAACCCCAAACACUCUGUGAUUCUGUGGAGAUCAAAAGAAAAAGGAGCAGGGAAUGGGGGGAGGAUAACUUCCUUAUCUGAAGAAAAUUUGAGAUUAUAAUUAAGCCUCCAGCAGUAAUCAGCUCCACCACCAGCCUGACCUGUUCUAGGGGAAGCACCAGGAUGCCCAGUUUGCACCAGAGCAAAUCACACCUGAAUAUCCUAAAGAUCCUCCAUAUGGAAAUGUUAUUUUCAAAAAUGGCUCGAGAGCUGCAGAAAUAAAGUGCAUUUCUGGGGAACUGCCAAGCUGCUGAAUAAUGUGACAUUUGUAACAGUAAUGAGGACCCCACUUUGCUUCUGAACAAAAGGCACUGUUCAAAAUGUGUAUCCAUGAAUAUUAUUUCCAUACAUUUAUGCAGAACUCAACCCCACCCCACAUUAGCACUGUGUCAGAGGAAAAAUUAAACAUUCAAGAUGAGAAAUACAAAGCUAAAGAUGAAACACAGAUUUAACCAUGAUAGAUUUAACUUGGACUCAUCUUCAAUUAUUUGGCACUGCAUUUCUCUAAUUGUAUACAGGCUGCAUUUUACUCUGGGGCCUGUGUUGUCUUCAAGGGUUUCUUCUGGCAAAGCUGAGACAACUGGAGCGAAACUGCUGCUGCUUUUUGUCUGCCAGGAAAUCAUGUCCUGAGCAUGUGGGCUUGGCCUGCAAGGAGCACAAGGAAAGCUCUUGGCAGAUGGGAUUUUAGAGCUCCUUUAGCCAGCCAAGCCCUUGGGAAGCCCCAACUGGCCUCACAAAGGAUAAAUCCCUGUUUUGUCAAGACAGAGCAGUUUUUAUUACUCCAAGAAGGCAUCAUGAGUACUUCUCUAUGACAACAAAAGGGUGAGUCUGAUCCCAUGAGCAGAACAGUAUUCCUCCAAUAUGUCAUCAUUCUGAGAUGUUAAAAAGCCAGGCUCUCUGAAAGCCAUCAUUUAGUGGCUGUAAGCUUGUAAAGGAAAUUCCACUGAGUGUUAUAGAAUGUAACAAAAAUACAUGCCAAAGGAGCCAGGUUAGCUGGGCUUUGAUAUCUUCUAAAUGUGUGGGUUUGUAAACUACAGAUGCUGUGCGAGUGAUGGGGUUCCUGAAGGAGGGAAGGGGCAGCUGGGAUUUUCUGGUGGAGCUGGUAAAGCCCAUGGCCUGCUGCUACCCAGCCUGAGGCUUUCCCCCCCAGAAGUCAUCCUGACCUGAGUGAAUGCUUUUCCUCUCAAAGCCACCCUUGCAUCUGGCUGUUCCCUGUCUCUCUGCCACAGAGCAGUGCCCACAGUCUCACAAACUCUCAGAGCUGCCAAUUGGUCACAGACAAUUCUGCCUCCUACCUGUUCCUUAUCUUUCUUUUGUUGGAAUAUCCUCAUUUCCUUCCACUGAGCUAGCACAGUGGAUAGCCAGAGACACCGUGCACAUCUGACCAGCGCUCGAUGGACCGGACUGCUAGUUUGGGCUGUCCUGAUACUUGACUACCUGCUGCCAAAACUCCAGCUAAAACUCCAACAAACUCAGUGUUUGAAUUUAUCAUUAUUUCUAGCAAAAAUGAUAUUGAACAUCUAAUUUCAAUCAACGAGCUUCCUACUCAGAAGCUAAAUUUUGGUGUGAAAUAGCCACUCCCCAUGGGGUGAGCAAUCUCCUUCCCUAUCACGUGGGUACUGUUUCAGCUGUCAGAUUUUAAGCCUUUACAUGUAAAAUUCCAGAAAGUCUCACACCCCAGUCACAGCCCUGCUCCUGCUGCCACACCACCGCUGGUCCAGGCCAGGUGUCCCUGGCCUUGUGCCCCCCUGGGCUGGUGCCCAGCCGCUGUCUCAGCACCCCAGGGCCGUUCCCUGCGGGCAGCUCUCCAGCCCAAGGGCUCCACAGCGGCGAGCAGGCGCAUCCCUCGGCGGGUCAGGGACAAACGGGCUCCGGAGCGCUCGGGACAGCAGCUGAGUGACCGGGAUGCACAGCCUGAUGCCACACAUCAUAAAUUCACGAGUAAAGUCUUUCUUGACACACUCAGGACAGGCUGCUCCCUAACCUGGCACCAGCCCAUAAUGCAAACCGCAGCCGUAGUGGUUACUGAAUUCACACUGCAAACAGCUUAAAGCGAAAUCAGAGCGCUUUUUUACCGAAAAGAGGCGGCCGACAGCGAAACACAUGUAAGACACUGGAAGUCUACCGUGACAAGUUCUGGUCUCUAACGUGCUCUGCCUGAAUUACGCUAAAUCCAUCACGCUCUCAGCCCUGUAGUUCCCCCACUCCGGAGGGAAGCGGAAAUCGUGACACUGCGGAAACGUGAAAAAAAAAAGUUUCAGCAUCCCCAGCUGUGGGGGACGGCCCCAGCGCCCGGCCCCAGCCCCGGGACAAUGGAGCUGGGCCGCCACCUCCGCCUGUCCUGUGCUGCUGGAGCGACACCAGGGAGCCGGGGGGCUUCUGUCCCCGCCACUCUGAACACACCAAGCACAGAACCACCGGGCGCCUGGGGCUCCAAGGGGCCGCUGCAG